UUUUGAAGGAACUUUAACACACACUUUUAUACAAAUGCUUUUCUUCCCCCUUUGGAAAAAUGAGAGCAAUAAUUUUGCUUGGGAAAUUUUCCUAUUCUUGGAAUCUUGUCUCACUUUGGACAAGCCUCUUGCCUCUACUGGGUCUCUUGUUCCUUGGCUAUAGAAUGUAGAGUUCGGACUUGAUGGACUUUAAGCUCCCUUUCAUCUUCAUGCUUUUAGAAAUGGGCGCCGGGAGAGGGAGGAGGACGUGAGCCACCCUGAUCCACACGUUCUCCACGCAGGCAGAGAAGACAAUGUAUCUUCACAGCUCUCCCACUGUGUGGCUACUUGGAGGAAAUAUGCUGCCAAAUGAAUGAAGGAAAGAAGGUGGAAUGGUAAUUCCUCAAAUGACAAAAUGAAUUUAUCUACAUUUCUAAUAAUGAAAUCAGCUUCAUCACUGGAAUGGGAUCCUGGUAGCAGACUUCUCAGUCAUCUUGCAGCAAUGUGGGUACCACGGGAUCUUGGAACUGAGCAUACUUUUUAUAGAAAACUCUGAAAGUAGGAUGACCAGAAGACAGCAGCAGGAAUUAAACUAAAGCCAAGAAACUGAGCACAGCUCCUUGGACAAAUCUUAAUCUUGGCUGAUGCCAUAUCUGGUGGGGGUGAGCUGAAGUGUACUUCACUGUGCAUAGAGAGAGAAACCUGCUUUUGAAACUCCUUCCAGAAGCAUACUAUCUUUUCAUUUUUCCACCACAAAGAGAGCUCCCAGAUGAUUAUGCACUCUUCUGCCCAGUGAACAAAAGGAAGCAUAAUCUGGACUAACUACAGGUUGAAUAUCCCAGGUUCUUCUCAGGUUAUGGUUGGCUGAGCUAUACUUAUUGAACACCUGCUGUAAAUAACCAUCAUGAAGAUGAAGCCUUGUAGGUUCCAAUUGUGGUUUACCCACAGAGUGUUCUGGGCAAAUCACUCUGUGAUUCUGUUUUCCGUGUCAUUAAAAGAGGAGAGUAUUACCACCCUCCUAAAAUGGGUAUUGUGAGGAUUAAAUGGAAACAAAAUAGGUUUUGUGGAAAUUGUAAAUGUUACCUUAACACUACACCAAUGUUAGUUAUUUUUUCCCAGUAUCUGAAAUUUGGGAGGAAAGAAUAAAAGACAGAAAAAUGAAAAAGAAGAGGAAGAGAAGGAAGAAGAGAGGGUGUGUGGAUUUUGACCUUGAGAUGCUUAUACAUGUGUGGCAGAGAAACAAAACAAAUGACAUGAAAUGAUGCUGUAAAUUGGGAAACUUUAUACAUUUAGUUGGCUCUGCUGAUUGUUCUAAUUACCAGUUGAUAUGGUUUGGCUGCAUGCCCACCCAAAUCUCAUCUUGAAUUGU
rnacentral:lncRNA from 1 species